rnacentral:lncRNA from 1 species
GAUACAAUUGCCAUCAUAUUUUACAUUACAGGCACUUAUAUUACAAGAGUGUCUCAAAGUAGCAUAAGUUUCCAAACUGAUAAAAGUUAUUACAAAUCAGUUGCAAGUUCUCAAGUUUACGGCAGCGGAAUUUGAAAUGCGACAACUAUACACGUCGCCAGUACGGACAUCAUGCUAAGCCCUGGCAUGACAUCACUCGGUAGGUUCAGUGUUGGCCGGGGACGGAUCCCACUCCACGGACCAACCAUCAGGCAAAGCAUAGGGCCAUGGCAGCUUAGGAGUCUGGUCCUCAUAAGUUAUACCUGAAAAACAUGUAACUAGUAAGGCUGAGUAUACUAAUACUCAGCAAGGCUUACCCGUCAUCUGGGUAUACUUAGCCCAUAAAUAGACCAUGGAGGAUUUGAGAGGUUCUGGUUUUCUCUUUUGCUGAAAAGCAACAAAGAGUACGAUCUAACUUCCAUAUUUUAGCUUUCAAGUUCUAGUUUCAUUAACCAUUCUAGAUAAGCACCUAUACUAGGCAAACAAGGUAGAGUUUAGCAUCCAUCAAGAUUAUUUCAACAAAGGUUACUGUUCUUACUCUAUGUGGCAGAAGGAAUAAGCAGUCUCAAUCUCCGCGAGAAAUGGACGAUUCCUGAAUCGAAUUUCAAACCUUGCAAGGGUAAACCUAACUCACACGCUUGGAACAUCCAAACAUCGUUCCGAAGCAACCGUUUCCCUCAUAUUCCGGGUUAUGGAUCAGGGCCACCACAAGUGACUGCAGAACCGUACGCACACCAAUUGUGCAGGACGUACGUCUGUAGCGCGACUAUAUGAUCGUACUCCUAUCUGCUAUGCAGAACGCACUCCCACACGUCGGUGCGUGUGUACAACAGAAACCAAAAUAAUCGAGUGGUGGAGACAUGUCCAUUUGCCGGGCCAUUCAGGUACUAGGCUUACCGCUUUACCAUAUUUCACGGCAUGUGGCUAGUACUUUCAAACGCUUAGCCACCACUACCACACACUGCGACCUUAUCAACUUUUAUCAACACAGACGGGGUAAACUUCCAGGUCAUGUUACUGCACAUGACCCCGUCCAUGAUCCUUAUAGUGAAUGCAAGAUUGUAAACAUUCAACUCCUAUAUCGCGCGAGUGAUAGGAAAUCACUCGACUUCUACCGGUCCUAUUAGCAGAGCAUCUAGUCGAUAUGGACUCAGGCACAUUACAUAGGUUCCUAGCAUCUAUGCAUCUAAGGUUCCAUUUCAACUCCUAGACUUAAUGCAGGAUAUAAUUUAUAAGUAUAAGAUUGCAUAAUGUAGUAAUUUGAAAUACUAGGUUAUGCACCGGGGCUUGCCUUUACUGGUGGGGCUGGAGUCAGGGAUGUUAGUAUUAUUAUCUUCUGAACUUGGGUUCGGACCUUUAGAUAAUCCCUUGGUGACAUUCACUUGGUCUUCAGAAACAUUCUCUGUAGACUCUUGGGAGAUCUCGUAGAUACCGUUUGCGGAAGUAGUCGUAUCUACAUGCAAUGCAACAUUACAUUCAAAGUGUGCACAUAAAACUAUCUUACUUCACAAUAAAGUUGCAAUCCAACACUCAUUUAACAUACUACUACGUAACAAUCAAAAGAUCAGAAACUAACUUGGGUAGAGCUUUAGUUGGACAACUAAUUAAAAUCAGCUACUUGUUGAAGAUUACAACAGAGCCGAUUGGAUACAAUAGGGGUUCAGCUGAUAGAAUUUGUAAAGAAGGAAGCUAUCUACACAGUUUUUGGAAAUCUGCUGAUUUCUGUUUGGAAGAGAAUUCGGCAGGAGCGGUCUCUAUAUAUGAGCAGAAGAGAUUAGCCGAUUUGAGUUUAUCUGGGGUCAAAUUGGCUGAUAUGGAUAGGAAUGUUAAAGGUACAGUACUUUAAGGAUAGAAAAAGGAAAGAUCUUGCCGAUUGGAUUAUCAGCAUAUUUUUGGUCUAUCCGAUUAGUUGGUGCAUUGGCCUUGGCCUUAGCCGAUUCAUGUGCCUUAGGUCUAGCCGAUUGGAUGUCUACUGGUGCUAGCCGAUUGGCCAAAGCUAUAUCGGCCGUGCCUAACAGAGACUCUUAUUGUGUUAACUUGCCGAUCUGUGGUGGUGCGUUUCGACAAGUGCAGCCGAUAUGCCAUCUAAAUCGGAUGUCUAGCUGAUCACUGCGCGCAUCGGCAUAGCCGAUUGGUGUUUUUAGCAAACUAGUCGAUCUGCGAACAUCGGCACGCUAGCCGAUCAGGGUAUGUAACUAUUCAAUAUUGGAAGUAGCCGAUUGUGCAACAACUACUCGACUCGUGUAGCAUGUAAAAUUGGAUUGCGCAUUGGUAAACUGGUCGAGAGUGUGAACAUCGGCCGAGCUAAUAUGUGCGCAUGUACUAGAUUUGUGAAUCGGCACAAGUAGCCGAUCAGUGCAUUUGCAAAACUAGUUGAUUAGUGAACAUCAGCUAAGCCGAUUUGUGUACGUGUACUAGUCGAUCGGUGAAUCGGCAUACUAGUCGAUUUAGUGCAUCGGCACAUUAGCCGAUUUUCACAUCGGGUAUAACUAGUCGAGUGAUGUAUCCGCAUAGCUAGUUGAUUAAUGUGAGUGACUAGCCGAUGGUGCAUUGGUAGACUAGUCGAACAUGCAUCCGUACGGUCUAUGUCUUGGUGUAUUCAGUCGAUUGGUGGGUUGGCUGUGUAGCUGGUUUUCACCAUUAAUGUUCUCCUACAGCUAUUGGGGUACAUCAGCCAUGUAGCUGAUUGUCUUAUUCUGCACUAACUAUGCCUAACUGAGAUGUGCUUAAGUGUUAUCCUAGGUAACUAGGUGUGGUUGUAUCGGCUUGAUUACGUCGGUAAAACAAUUAAUUGACGUACAGCCGAUGGGUGUCCUACAGACCCGUAGUCAAUAGGCAUAUGGCCGAUAGGUGUGUGUCCUAUGGGUAUAUAGCUAAAGGGUUGUGUGGCCUAUAUCUCAGUCGAUAAAUCGGCUGGUAUAAAUAUGCUGACAGAGAAGGGUAACUAAAAUGGAUUGGUUAUAUCUGGCCAUUAUAGAAAAUGAUCAGAUUUGGCUUGGAUCAGCUGAUAGCAAGAAUCCCAAGAUCAUGUGUGCAUCUCCGAUACAUCGACUAUGUGCAGCCGAUGUAGGACAGAACAAAAGAAUUGUAUCGGUAGUAGCCGAUAUUAGAAAGAUAACAACCGUAUCGGCUAACCAGCCGAUGGUAGAAGCAUAUCAAAUGAAUUGCAUCGGCUGACAGCCGUUACAAUGAAACAUCAUAGAUUCAAUUGAAACGGAUGCUUAGCGGCUGAGCUAAUAGCCGAUGCUGAAGCAUAGCUACAGAGAUGUAUUAGCUAAGCAGCAGAUACACACGAACUAACAAGGAUCCUUAUACGAAAAGGACCUUAAGGAAACUGCAAUCAAGACAAGGACAAUGUCUUGAUGGUAGGGACAUGAGCACUCGUGUGAAAGGAUUAACUAAACAUCACACAUCUCUAUCACAAAAGUAUGAGCUAACACUACCAAACUUAUCGACAAUGCAACAUGAAAGACAUUCUAUUUAUCAAACAUGUUAUUCACUCUUUUGCUAGGCAUUCAUUUAUCGGGUAUUAUCUAAAUUGUUUAGUUACAUUAGGUAACAGGGUUGAUUACCCUAAAUAUCUAAACUAAAUACAUUAGGUAGUGUACUUGGUUAUCUUAAGCAAACAAACUAAUUACACUUAACAUCUUUAUGUAUUAGAUUAAUCAAAAUAAAUGAUUUAAAUAAACAACAUGUAAAACUUAAAUGAAUUUUAUAGAGCAAUGCAGUUUAAAACUAAGGCUAUAAAAAUUACUAAACAUUGCUUUAGUCUAAUUACAUUUACUGUAAAUUUAUCAUGAUUUUAUUUAAACAGGAACUAUGCCACAAAAUUAAAUAAGAACACACAUUAAAUGAUUAAGAUAUAUUUAUAACUGUAGUUCUAUACUAGAUCUGGGGUUCAAAAUUUAUGGACAUGUUCUACUGGGCAGGUUCCUUCGAGUUCAACAUUGUCUGCAGCAAUUUGUAGCCGGUAGAUAUAUCCUAUACAAUAUUCUGCCUAUUGGCAUAGGUAAGCUCACAUGACAUAUUUAUUAUUACAGAUUUUGUUAAAUUUGACGCUUCAUGGCAAUUAUGUGUUUUCACGCCCAUGUAGCUAAACUACCCUGCUGGCUCAGUAAAUUGUCUGCCUUAGUCAGAUAGCUUCAUGUUUCAAAAUUGGGUGUAUAAACCAAAAUCUGGGCCUUGAUAAAGUACUGUUCCUUCCAAUGACUAAAGGAGCUGUGAGCCAGAAUGUGAGUUCCCAUUCCAAUAUAACCAAACAGACCAUUACCAAAUUUCAGGUUGUUCUGCAGCUGUAAAAAUUCAGGUUGCAAGGCAGACAUCAUGAAUUCAAAUUAAGUUGCCUACCAACUAGAUUGGUCUCUGAACAUUUUAGCACUAUUUUAUGCUCAUGAUUCAUGAACAUCAUAACUGGAAAUAUAGGAACCUAUAGCUUUACAGGAUAAACUUUCUAGCUGCAGUAAGCACUCAGCAGCAAGUAAAUGACGUCAGGAGUGAUCUGAGAUGUCCAUGUAUAUCAACUGCCUGUUUUUCACGUCGAAGACUCAAAUAUUCACAGCAAACUUGCGUAAUGAUCCCCCCAAUCAUAGUCACAUUUCUACAUUUUACCCCAAAUCAGUACUCCUUAGAACACUAAAUAUUUCAUCGAGUAGCUUAUCACUAUCGAGUGUGCACAAAUUAACCCCAAAAGCCAACACCUGAGUCAGUCAGUCUCCCGGAGAAAUAGGUAAAAGAAAUUUCCAUGUCCACGCAGAAACUGACUAAUUACCCGAUCAGCGUUGCUUCCCCUAAAAAAAAGGCGCAUGAUUCCACUCUCACGCAAUUAAAAUUCCUAGGGACCUAAGACGAAAUGUGGCCUUAAAUUACGAACUCAAUCAGAACCGUGGAGCUAAAUCCAGAACAAAUUCGAAACGGCGUGACGGGAUCGGAGCUCACCUAAAUCAACCGGAUCGGACCGGGGCC